UUCGUCUUUUCACAUUAUCACAUGAAUUUUUCGAUCAAUUAACAACAUUAUAACAACAUUAUAACACAUUUUUAAUUAUACUUAUAUUUAUAACAAAAACAUGUUUCACAGGGGCUACAACCUCCAACGCAACAGAGGGGCAGGUGGGAAAGAAAAGGGCCAAGAAGCGAAAACUGGGCAUCCUUGAGAGGGCAGUGAGAGAAUUUGAGGGUUCGGAUGAGUCAGUUCAUGAUGAGGAUGAUGACGAAACUCCAGAUCUGGCUGAAAGCGUUGCUCCAUCCUCGGCAUCCCGUACAACACAACCAGGAUCCGGCCAGGAGACCCAGACGUCAGCCUCAGCCCCCCAGCCAGAGAACGGCUCCCCUAAGCCAAAGAAAUCGCACCGGUCCCCGGCCCAGGAGAAGCGCUCAGAGACACAGCCUGGGUACCAACCGCCUGAGGCCGGAGGUCCGGCAAAAAUUGCCAAGAGCAUCCCUGUCACGGAAGAACCUGCUGCCCCGUCAGCUUCUUCAGCACUGGGUAGUCCUGGCCCAAAUACUCUCCCC
ensembl:lncRNA